rnacentral:rRNA from 1 species
AUUGAACGCUGGCGGCAGGCCUAACACAUGCAAGUCGAGCGAGCGGCGGACGGGUGAGUAACACGUAUCCAACCUGCCCUUUACGCGGGGAUAGCCUUUCGAAAGAAAGAUUAAUACACGAAAUAAAGGAUGGGGAUGCGUUCCUUUAGGUUGUUGGUGAGGUAACGGCCCACCAAGGCUUCGAUGUAUAGGGGUUCUGAGGGGAAGGUCCCCAACAUUGGAGCUGCGACACCGUCCAAACUCCUACGGGAGGCAGCAGUGAGGAAUAUUGGUCAAUGGGCGUUAGCCUGAACCAGCCAAGUAGCGUGAAGGAUGAAUGCUUAUGGGUCGUAAACUUCUUUUAUAUAAGAAUAUGUAUUAUAUGAAUAAGGAUCGGCUAACUCCGUGCCAGCAGCCGCGGUAAUAC